ACGGGUGAGUAACGCGUAGGGAUCUGCCUAUUGGUGGGGGAUAACCUAGGGAAACUUAGGCUAAUACCGCAUACAGCUGAGAAGUGAAAGAGUGGGACCCGCGAGGGCCACAUGCCAAGAGAUGAACCUGCGUUGGAUUAGCUAGUUGGUGGGGUAAAGGCCUACCAAGGCGAAGACCCAUAGCUGGUCUGAGAGGACGAUCAGCCACACUGGGACUGAGACACGGCCCAGACUCCUACGGGAGGCAGCAGUGGGGAAUAUUGGACAAUGGGCGCAAGCCUGAUCCAGCAAUGCCGCGUGUGUGAAGAAGGCCUGCGGGUUGUAAAGCACUUUCGUUGGGGAGGAAAGACUUUGCUUUAAUAGAGCAGAGGGAUGACGUUACCCAAAGAAGAAGCGCCGGCUAACUCUGUGCCAGCAGCCGCGGUAAUACAGAGGGCGCGAGCGUUAAUCGGAAUUAUUGGGCGUAAAGGGUGCGUAGGUGGUUAAUUAAGUUAGAGGUGAAAGCCCUGGGCUUAACCUAGGAAUGGCCUCUAAGACUGAAUAGCUAGAGAUUGGGAGAGGGAAGUGGAAUUUCCGGU
rnacentral:rRNA from 1 species